UCGAGUAAUGAACCAUGUUUUGAAUGAAGUGUCGAAGCUUCAACAAAGCCUCGAUCAGCCAUCACUACCUCUCCACCACCAGCAGCGGCUCUUCUCCAGCACCAGCUUCGACACCAGUACCAGCUCGGACACCGACCCUGUCAACAUCAACAUAACAGCAACGUCUUAUCACCGGCAAGAGGAAAAGGUGCAACAGAAAAUUGGACCUUCCAAGCAUCCUUGUGGAGAUGCAGACUGAGAAGGAGCGGAACCGGCAUCCAGCAUGAUGAGAACAUCUGGUUGCUCCUCAGCGAGGCAAGAGAGAAUGAAGCGGCCUUAUAGUGGAGGAGAUGGCCCAGAAUGCUGCCUUCAACCAGUCAUUCCUGGGUGUACUGGGGCAGCUGGGGCAGCUGGGGCAGGCAGUGGGCAGCCAGCGAGUCCACCUCCCAGAGACUUGAGAUUUAGUUGUAUAUAGUUUUACUUUUAGCCCUCCACUGUAGGAGAGGCCCACCACAGUUUGUACUUUGCACAUUGUAAAUAGUUUUGAUUUUGCUGCUGACUAAUAAACUAUUUUGUG
ensembl:lncRNA